rnacentral:tRNA from 1 species
AUGCGGAGGAUGGAUAGAGCGGGUAUGUAGUGUAGUGGUAUCACGUUCGCUUCGCAUGCGANAGGCCCCGGG